rnacentral:rRNA from 1 species
UCUGGNUUAACUGGGGGCUUGCGGUGGGUACGGGCCGGCUUGAGUGCGGUAGGGGAGACCGGAACUCCUGGUGUAGCGGUGGAAUGCGCAGAUNUCAGGAAGAACACCGGUGGCGACGGCGGGUCUCUGGCCGUUACUGACGCUGAGGAGCGAAAGCGUGGGGAGCGAACAGGAUUAGAUACCCUGGUAGUCCACGCCGUAAACGUUGGGCACUAGGUGUGGGGGGCCUUUUCCGGNUCUUCCGCGCCGUAGCUAACGCAUUAAGUGCCCCGCCUGGGGAGUACGGCCGCAAGGCUAAAACUCAAAGGAAUUGACGGGGGCCCGCACAAGCGGCGGAGCAUGCGGAUUAAUUCGAUGCAACGCGAAGAACCUUACCAAGGCUUGACAUGUGCCGGUCGGCUCCGGAGACGGGGUUUCCUCCUUGUGGGGCCGGUUCACAGGUGGUGCAUGGUUGUCGUCAGCUCGUGUCGUGAGAUGUUGGGUUAAGUCCCGCAACGAGCGCAACCCUUGUCCCGUGUUGCCAGCACGUUGUGGUGGGGACUCGCGGGAGACUGCCGGGGUCAACUCGGAGGAAGGUGGGGAUGACGUCAAAUCAUCAUGCCCCUUAUGUCUUGGGCUUCACGCAUGCUACAAUGGCCGGUACAGAGGGCUGCGAUACCGUGAGGUGGAGCGAAUCCCUUAAAGCCGGUCUCAGUUCGGAUCGGUGUCUGCAACUCGACACCGUGAAGUUGGUGUCGCUAGUAAUCGCAGAUCAGCAACGCUGCGGUGAAUACGUUCUCGGGCCUUGUACACACCGCCCGUCACGUCAUGAAAGUCGGCAACACCCGAAGCCCAUGGCC